rnacentral:rRNA from 1 species
GACGAACGCUAGCGGCGUGCUUAACACAUGCAAGUCGAACGAUGAAGCUGGAGCUUGCUCUGGUGGAUUAGUGGCGAACGGGUGAGUAACACGUGAGUAACCUGCCCCAGACUCUGGGAUAACCCCGGGAAACCGGAGCUAAUACCGGAUAUGACACGCCCCUGCAUGGGGAGCGUGUGGAAAGUUCUUCGGUCUGGGAUGGACUCGCGGCCUAUCAGCUUGUUGGUGAGGUAAUGGCUCACCAAGGCGACGACGGGUAGCCGGCCUGAGAGGGCGACCGGCCACACUGGGACUGAGACACGGCCCAGACUCCUACGGGAGGCAGCAGUGGGGAAUAUUGCACAAUGGGCGAAAGCCUGAUGCAGCGACGCCGCGUGAGGGAUGACGGCCUUCGGGUUGUAAACCUCUUUCAGCAGGGAAGAAGCGCAAGUGACGGUACCUGCAGAAGAAGCACCGGCUAACUACGUGCCAGCCGCCGCAGUAACAC